CUUUUUCGCUGAAAGAAUUAGAGGAUCCUUUGAUUCAUUUUAAAAAAUCGAAGACUUUUAGGUGUAAAUUUUGUCAAAUAUCAGGAGCUUACAGUAAUUUCACAAGAUAGAUAUGAGUGAUAAAAAUGUUUCAGAUUCAUUGUUAAAGCAUCCUAUCCACAAAAAAAAACAUGGCCUUGGUUAAUAUAGGAACCGUCUUCAGGGAAUCAGUUGCCUAAACCUGAAUUUCUGGGGAUGAGAAUGCCCCUUGCUGCUACUGAUUUCAUGGGCCUAACUUUAGUAUGCUGCCUGUGCUUAUCACUAUCAGCAGUCUUGCAUCAUUCUUUGGCUUUGGACACUGGUUCUGGAUCAGGGAUGGAGUUGCUAAAAAGGGAGUUAUUGGAAUCAGCGAGAAAGCCUAAGUUCUUUAAGUGGAUGAGAGGGAUAAGAAGGAGAAUCCAUGAGUACCCAGAGCUGGGAUUUGAGGAGCACAGAACCAGUCAGCUCAUCAGGACUCAGCUUGACUCGCUUGGAAUCGAGUAUAAAUGGCCUAUUGCCAAAACUGGAGUGGUGGCCUCUAUUGGGUCUGGUGAGAAACCGGUUUUCGGCCUCAGAGCUGAUAUGGAUGCCCUCCCUUUGCAGGAAUUGGUGGAGUGGGCGCACAAGAGUAAAAUUGAUGGCAAAAUGCAUGCUUGUGGUCAUGAUUCUCAUGUGUCAAUGCUUCUUGGAGCAGCCAAACUACUCCAGGAAAAGAGAGAUGAAUUAAAGGGUACUGUGAAGCUUGUUUUCCAGCCUGGAGAAGAGGGUUAUGCUGGUGCCUACCAUAUGUUACAAGAUGGUGCUCUUGAUGAUCUCAAAGCCAUCUUCAUGUUACAUGUUUUACCUACAAUUCCCACCGGCGUUAUUGCCUCAAGGCCUGGUCCAUUGCUUGCUGGUGCUGGACUCUUCUCGGUUACAAUUCGAGGGAGAGGAGGACUCGCAGCAGCUCCACAUGGUACUAUAGACCCAAUUCUUGCAGCUUCUUUUGCAAUCAUUGCUCUCCAACAGAUUGUAUCUCGAGAGAUAAAUCCUCUUGAGGCCGGGGUAAUAUUUUCCAUUCUCUUUUGCUGAAUUAUAAACGGCACUGAACUUAUUCUUCUGGCACCCCUAGAUAACAAAUGGAAUUGAUUAUUCAUCAUUUAUUUGGAAACUUAAGGUGGUUACAGUUGGGUUCAUAGAAGGAGGUGAAGCAACAAAUGUAAUCCCAGAGUGUGUGAAAUUUGGAGGAACUUUCAGAAGCUUGACCAAUGAAGGUCUACUCCACAUAACAAAGAGGAUAAAGCAGAUCAUUGAGUUCCAAGCAGUCGUGCAUAGAUGUACUGUUUCAUUGGACUUCAUGGAAGAUACUCCACUGCCUUAUCCAGUCUUGAACAAUGAUGAAGCAUUAUAUGAGCAUACAAAGAAGGUAGGAGAGGCCCUGCUCGGAAAGCAAAAUGUGCAGCUUCUCCCAAUGAACAUGGGAGGAGAGGAUUUUAGUUUCUAUUCCAAGAAGAUUCCUGCUACUGCAUUUGGGCUUGGGAUUAGAAAUGAGACAUUGAAAUCAGAUGAGCCAUUGCAUUCACCUUACUUUGUUAUGGAUGAAAGUGCUCUUCCAAUUGGAGCAGCUUUCCAUGUUGCUGUUGCAAUGUCAUAUUUGGAUAGCCAUGCUCAAAUCUCUUAGAAACUUUAUGAUGUAUCUGAAACGAAUUUUUUCAUGAAAUAAAUUUGAGGAAAAUGCUAAAUUCAAAGAGUCUAAUUGAAUUCAUAAAAGAUUGUUAUGUAUGCUUAUUCUAUCAUGAACUAAGUUAUAAACGCUUGUGAGUGUGGAUCUCAUAUCUAGUUUCUAUAGUCUAUGGUUAACUAGGUCCAUCUUAAAAAUUUCCGAGAUAUAGACACAUAAUUAAUC
rnacentral:misc_RNA from 1 species